GAUGAACGCUGGCGGCGUGCCUAAUACAUGCAAGUCGAGCGAACAGAUAAGGAGCUUGCUCCUUUGACGUUAGCGGCGGACGGGUGAGUAACACGUGGGUAACCUACCUAUAAGACUGGAAUAACUCCGGGAAACCGGGGCUAAUGCCGGAUAACAUUUAGAACCGCAUGGUUCUAAAGUGAAAGAUGGUUUUGCUAUCACUUAUAGAUGGACCCGCGCCGUAUUAGCUAGUUGGUAAGGUAACGGCUUACCAAGGCAACGAUACGUAGCCGACCUGAGAGGGUGAUCGGCCACACUGGAACUGAGACACGGUCCAGGCUCCUACGGGAGGCAGCAGUAGGGAAUCUUCCGCAAAGGGCGAAAGCCUGACGGAGCAACGCCGCGUGAGUGAUGAAGGUCUUCGGAUCGUAAAACUCUGUUAUUAGGGAAGAACAAAUGUGUAAGUAACUGUGCACGUCUUGACGGUACCUAAUCAGAAAGCCACGGCUAACUACGUG
rnacentral:rRNA from 1 species